GACAGUGUGGCGUAGUGGUGUGAGCAUUGGACUAUGACUCUAGAGAUCAUGGUUUGAUCCCAGCUCAGUCA